CUUUUUGGUGUGUUGCUGGAUUCAGUUUGCUAGCAUUUUGUGGAGGAUUUUUUCACUGAUGUUCAUGAAUGAUAUUGGGAUUUUUAAAAAGUAAAUCAAAUGUUUUAAACUCUCAUUUAUUUUGUGUAAAUAUUGUCUGAAUUAGGGUCCUAUGAAUCUCUUACACAAUUUUUUCCUAAAAUUUUGCCAUUUGUUAUCCUAUAUUCUUACAGUGUUCUGAUUAAAUUAGAAGGGCAGGCUCUGGCUUUGAUCUUUUUAUCUUUGAAUUUCAGACCUUUCUUUUUCACUCACUCACAUUCUCAUAUCUAUACUUGCGGCCCA
rnacentral:lncRNA from 1 species